AGCGAACGCUGGCGGCAGGCCUAACACAUGCAAGUCGAACGAACCUUUCGGGGUUAGUGGCGGACGGGUGAGUAACACGUGGGAACGUGCCUUUAGGUUCGGAAUAACUCAGGGAAACUUGUGCUAAUACCGAAUGUGCCCUUCGGGGGAAAGAUUAAUCGCCUUUAGAGCGGCCCGCGUCUGAUUAGCUAGUUGGUUGAGGUAAUGGCUCACCAAGGCGACGAUCAGUAGCUGGUCUGAGAGGAUGAUCAGCCACAUUGGGACUGAGACACGGCCCAAACUCCUACGGGAGGCAGCAGUGGGGAAUCUUGCGCAAUGGGCGAAAGCCUGACGCAGCCAUGCCGCGUGAAUGAUGAAGGUCUUAGGAUUGUAAAAUUCUUUCACCGGGGACGAUAAUGACGGUACCCGGAGAAGAAGCCGCGGCUAACUUCGUG
rnacentral:rRNA from 1 species